rnacentral:rRNA from 1 species
UACGAAGGUGGCAAGCGUUACUCGGAAUUACUAGGCGUAAAGGGCAGGUAGGCGGUUUGAUGAGCCUGUUGUGAAAGCUCCCGGCUUAACUGGGAGAGGUCAACAGAUACUGUCGAACUUGAGUAUGGGAGAGGGUACUGGAAUUCCUGGUGUAGCGGUGAAAUGCGCAGAGAUCAGGAGGAACACCGAUGGCGAAAGCAGGUACCUGGACCAUUACUGACGCUCAGCUGCGAAAGCUAGGGGAGCAAACAGG